rnacentral:rRNA from 1 species
CCUACGGGGGGCAGCAGUGAGGAAUAUUGGUCAAUGGACGCAAGCCUGAACCAGCCAUGCCGCGUGAAGGAUGACGGCACUAUGAGUUGUAAACUUCUUUUGUACGGGAAUAAACGCAGGUACGCGUACCUGUCUGAAUGUACCUUAAGAAUAAGGAUCGGCUAACUCCGUGCCAGCAGCCGCGGUAAUACGGAGGAUUCGAGCGUUAUCCGGAUUUAUUGGGUUUAAAGGGUGCGUAGGUGGUCUGUUAAGUUAGAGGUGAAAUCCCGGGGCUCAACCCCGUAAUUGCAUUUGAUACUGGCAGGCUAGAGUGUAGGUGAGGUAGGCGGAAUGCAUGGUGUAGCGGUGAAAUGCUGAGAGAUCGCACAGAACUCCGAUUGCGAAGGCAGCUUACCAAGCUACCACUGACGUUGAGGCACGAAAGCGUGGGGAGCAAACAGGAUUAGAUACCCGAGUAGUC